AUUGAACGCUGGCGGCAUGCCUUACACAUGCAAGUCGAAACGGCAGCGGACCUUCGGGUGCCGGCGAGUGGCGAACGGGUGAGUAAUAUAUCGGAACGUACCUUUCAGUGGGGGAUAACGUAGCGAAAGUUACGCUAAUACCGCAUAUUCUGUGAGCAGGAAAGCAGGGGAUCGCAAGACCUUGCGCUGAUUGAGCGGCCGAUAUCAGAUUAGCUAGUUGGUGAGGUAAAGGCUCACCAAGGCGACGAUCUGUAGCGGGUCUGAGAGGAUGAUCCGCCACACUGGAACUGAGACACGGUCCAGACUCCUACGGGAGGCAGCAGUGGGGAAUUUGGACAAUGGGCGCAAGCCUGAUCCAGCCAUGCCGCGUGAGUGAAGAAGGCCUCGGUGUAA
rnacentral:rRNA from 1 species